UCUGAUAGCUGCAGAGCUGUGGCAAAAGGAUCUAUGCAAAGAUUUACAUGAGUCCUGUCAGGAUAGAGAGGAUAAUAACCGUACCAGCUUCACCAACCCAUGGAGAGAACAGCUGAAGAGAGCCUGUGAAAUUGCUAUGAUGAAUAGCAGAAGAAGGGAAGGUUUCUUGCAGUGAGAGAGAUCUGAGCAGCACUUCAGGCUGGAAGGCAAAAGUUGCUCUGAAAAGGCUGCAUCCUGACUCUCCCACAUCCCUGUAUUUUAUCUUGGUCAACGAUGUACAUCCUUGUAAAAAGUAAG
rnacentral:lncRNA from 1 species